AACGAACACUGGCGGCAUGCCUAACACAUGCAAGUCGAACGGGAUCCUAGCUUGCUAGGUGAGAGUGGCGGACGGGUGAGUAACACGUGGGAAUCUGCCUUUUGGUUCGGGAUAACCGCGGGAAACUGCGGCUAAUACCGAAUGCCCUCGAGAGAGGAAAGAUUUAUCGCCAGAAGAGGAGCCCGCGUCCGAUUAGGUAGUUGGUGGGGUAAAGGCCUACCAAGCCGACGAUCGGUAGCUGGUCUGAGAGGAUGAUCAGCCACACUGGGACUGAGAUACGGCCCAGACUCCUACGGGAGGCAGCAGUGGGGAAUAUUGGACAAUGGGGGCAACCCUGAUCCAGCAAUGCCGCGUGAGUGAUGAAGGCCUUAGGGUUGUAAAGCUCUUUUGCCAGGGAAGAUGAUGACUGUACCUGGAGAAUAAGCCCCGGCUAACUUCGUGCCAGCAGCCGCGGU
rnacentral:rRNA from 1 species